UACAUUUUAGUAUAAGAGGUACUUUAAUUUUUGAUAUUGACAGUAAUAGUUUAAUUCUAUUAAAUGUAA
rnacentral:tRNA from 1 species